CAAAAACCCGUUUGAAUCGCAUUGCUCCAGUUAUUGGUGCUGCAGGCUCUAUAGUUCUUCUACCUGUCUUAAUUUGGUUUGGAUUUUUGACAGUUCAAGAAAUACUACG